UCAAUUUCACAGGCAAGUUGUCAGACUCUAUUUAUGUGGCAUCAGUGCUUCUUGUGGCAAGAUGGCGUAGGUGGCUUCACAAUUAAAAGCUGGAGCUUGGCAGCUUAGGGUUUAUCUUCAACAGCCCAAACAAAACUCUUUGUUAUCAGAUUCUGCGGCGAGUGUCAUAUAAUAGUUUGUUCAAGUAGCCAUAUAGUGUGGUAGGAAUCAAUAGAAGGCAAGAAGAAUAAGAAGGAUGGCAUCCAGACUUGUAUUGCAUCAUCCUCUUUUGUUACUUCUUUUAGUUUUGGGAUUACGUAUUCUGUAUUGGGGCUGUAAUUUUAUUGUAAUCUUUAUUGGCAUGAGUCUGUUGGUAGGUUUAUUGUGUUAUGAAUUUCAUUAUCAUACUACCAAUAUUCAAAAAUUA